rnacentral:lncRNA from 1 species
AUGAACGCCAGGUAAAGCAUUCCACCUUCAUAUUUACUCGAUUAUUCUCAGGCACAAGCAAUUCAUUGUUCGUGAAAGACAAAAGUUUUUCCGUUUAUUUUAGAAUACAUACUUUUUUUUAAAAGUGAGGACAUGUGAUUGUUUACGAACCAAUCACAUGUUCCAUCUUCAGACAAAAUUAAUUCCGCACGUGUCAGAAAGUUAGGCAAUUUGCAAUGCGAUGAAAAAUUGCAACCUAUCUCAAUUGUAUUGCAGUAGAUUUUAACAAAGAGUGCUCCUUCAAAAGGUAGAUAUAGGCAACAUACACAGCACUCCCAUGCAGUAGCAAGAACUUCACCUUGUAAUAAUUACAAUUUAUGGCAAUCUGCGCUACCUCGGUAGUUUUCUAUUUUUAUUUAUUUUUUCUUCUAAAAAAUUCCAAAUUUCACGAUACGCACUCAGUUUAAGUUGUCAUUUGUUUAGUAUGUGUGGUCUCCUCUAAUCUAAUACGACCCAAGAAGUAAUAAUUUUCCUGUUCGUCUCUCAUACUGUCCACACCCCCGCACCACCAUUCAUUAAUUCUUCUCGUCUGUUUAUCUGUGUUAAGUGUCGACAAGGGAAUUGGUCACUCCGCGGACUGAACAGUUUUUUGCCCAUUUCGCGGAAUGACCGGGAAAUCGGCCAAUCCAUCAACUUGCUCCCCAGUCCGCAGACUGACCAAUGAAAUUGAAAACGAUUCUUCAAAUAUCCACUAUCUAGUUCCGUCUCUUACCCACAGUAAAUAACGCUUAUAUAAGUUCCGUGACCUGUGAUAUUUUUAAUUUGACCCUUUUCCAGAUUUCGACAAUAUUUCAACAAUAUCAUAUUUGGAUGGCGCUGUAUCAGACGAUCAAUAAAUGACGAGGACGGGACGGACACACCUACCAAUAUAAAAUUUCAUUACAAUCAUUCAGUCUCCAGAUCAAGGUCUGACACAGCCGAAGACUAUUCUGAGCCAUACGACAGGCACAGGCAAAAUUUCAGGCAUCGACACAACUACACAUCCGUGAGAAGACAUUUAACGAACACGGAGUCGCCACGAUCAUUGAACGAGAUGGAUCGGAUGAGAUCCGCGCAUGCGCAAACGAGACAAUCCGACAUUCCUUGUCACCACUGUCAACCACCGCAAAGGAGUGACAUGAACAAAUGCUCCUUGCAAGUCGAUCAAGUGCCUAAAUCCUAUUUUAUACGCGUCAUAAACGCACAAUAAUCCUCCGUUCAGGAAUUUGGAAAAUGUUCGAUCGCUCACUUCGUCAACGGCGGUGUAGGUCUUCGUUACCGCGAAAGGCGAUUACGAGAUUUGAAGGGCACCCGUUGUAAAGUGCAAAUUUCAAGAGAUUGGAGGGGGAAAGAUCAAAUAUUUUGUACUUUUUUACGGAUCGAUAUUUGAUAUGACUCAUCAGUACAUUGUACUGCCGCGUUGCCGAAGAGAGUAGGAAACUAUCAACAUUUCAAAAUCGAGUUUACCUUCUAAAUUUGCCAAAUGUGAUUGCAAACUGAAUGAUUUUACUAAAAUAGUGAAAUCAUAUUUUCUGUAGAAAAACAAAGCUUUUCAGGCGGCAGUGAGUCAGCACUAUCCUGCGAGAGAGCGGUACCUCAAACUCUGGCACCUUUUUUUUGCCAACUUUUUACUCUUUCAAUUUGUAUUUUACUAGUCGAAAAUACAAUCACACUACAUGCCGAAAAUCGACGGUGAAAUUCCCAAAUGAAGUAUCUCGUUUGCGGCGUUUAAAAUCUCAGGUAUUAUUUUAUAUUUUUAAAGGAGAAAAAUUCAAUAUCAUUCCUUGAAGUUUUUACAAAUUUGCUACACACAGAGCAGAGAAAGCACGAAAGUUUUUAAGUAUUACAAUUAAGUAUAGUACUCCAUUUAAAAAUUGAAGUAUGGAAACGAAGUCUGUAACAUCGCAAACUGAGGUACUCGGUUUGGGAAUUUCACCGUCAAAAUAGUACACGCUAUUGUUUAACCCAAUAAUAUGGAACAAAUAAGUCAUUUUAUGUAGUAAAUUUAGAUAAUUUUUAAUCACCCGAUUGAUUUCUAAGAGCUCUGGAUGGUUUUGUAUAACUUUACAAGGAAUUGAAGGUUUGCUCGGUAAAAUUUUCCGCUCCAACACCUUCUGGGCCAUUUUUUUUUUCAACUUUAUUCCUUAAGUUUCCACUCUCCUCGGUAGUACGUCCGUAGAGCGGUAUUUCCUCAAAAUUUACCGUCAACUUCGUAAUUUUAGUGUAAGGAACCUCAUUAGGAUGCCAUAAAAUGACAUCGACUCGAUUUUUCCAAAAAUGCCACCUAACAAGCUCAAAUAUUAAACCCGUCAUCAACGUUUUAGAGUCAAAGCGUGAUGAAAUGAUUUAGCAUCGUUCUAAAAAGAGAGAAAGGUUUUUUUUUCAUUACUCGUGCACAAUAAAUCCACGAAAAUGCAUCGUCAAAAAGAAAAGGCUUAAAUGGUGGAAAGGGACUACUAUAUAUCAGUGAUUGCAUGGGCACAUUCAUCGCCUUUUCAAAGCCCCCUCGUCAGUUCCUUUCCAGAUAACCUAUCAACACUCUAACCCUAUCCGCCUCUCUCCACACAUAAUGAGGGCUGAGCCCACAAAUCCGACCAAAUCCACAGACAAAAGAAGAGGAAGUGAGUUAAUUAGUGACAUAUUUCGUCGCUUGGCUGACAUAAGGGCGUAACUACACAGUGAGAUGAGCCCGGAAAAGCAUUGAAUAGUAUGGAGGACAGGGUUCAUUGCAGAGUAUAGUUACGCCCUUAUGUCAGGUAGGCGACGAUUUAUUUCAACAUGAGGCGAGAAAGUAAAAAGCACCUAAAAUCCGAGGGAUGGAAUGGACCGAGUUUUACAGGAAGGAAUCGGAAUCCACAUGAAAAUGAGAAAAAUAAGCUUGCAAAUGUAAUCUGCCAUGAAGUAUGAUAUUAAAGAUGUACAUCGUGGACCCCUAUUUUUCAGAAAUAAAUAUUUUUCCACGGCUUUGAAUUUUUAGAGAGAAAAUAAAAGACUGUUCGACUCAAAACUGCGAGUAUUAUUCACUCAAUUUUCCAAAAUGUACUUUUGUCCACAUCGGUCCAAAUAAAAAAAGGAUCACUUAUCUAAAAUUAAAUUUAACACUUUUUUAUAUCCAAAUCAGGGCCGGAUUAAGGGGAUGGCCACAUGGGCCGCGGCCCAUGGCGGCAAAAUGUAGGGGGCGGCAAAUUUUGCAAUCGUUUUGAAUGUAGGUAUCAAAAAGAUGGGGGAAAAAAUCUGAUUCAGAAAAUAAAUUACAAGCUAGAAAAAGCGACAAAAUCUCUCAUUUCCUGAGAGUAAAAGCACAGUAAUUUCUAAUUUUGUCGUCUUCCGGUGAUACAAGAGACAACACAUUUAAUAAGUCGAGUUAAGAGAGAAACCAAACACGCAAUUUGACCUUGUAACGAACGGAGCGGUGCGGCAGUCGGCAUAAAACGCAUAGCGCCUACAAGACUGCAUGAAUACUUCACGCAUUGCGCGAAACAGUGUGGUCAGUAGCGGUCGGCGUGAAACGCAUAGCGCCUACAAGACUGCAUGAAUACUUCACGCAUUGCACCAAUACAGUGCGGUCGGCGCGGCGCCACUAUUGGCAAAAUGAGCUUUUGGCGGA